GGGGCUGUAGCUUAAUGGUAAAGUGCGCUAUUUUUCAUUGAAAACUUGACCCAGCGCGAUUUGAGGUUCGACUCCCAACGGUCCCA